CUACGGGCUGCUGCAGUGAGGAAUAUUGCGCAAUGGGGGAAACCCUGACGCAGCGACGCCGCGUGGAUGAUGAAGGCUUUCGGGUCGUAAAAUCCUGUCAGAAGGGAAGAAAUGCUAUAUGCCUAAUAUGUGUAUAGUUUGACGGUACCUUCAAAGGAAGCACCGGCUAACUCCGUGCCAGCAGCCGCGGUAAUACGGAGGGUGCAAGCGUUGUUCGGAAUUACUGGGCGUAAAGCGCGCGUAGGCGGCCUUUUAAGUCAGAUGUGAAAGUCCACGGCUCAACCGUGGAAGUGCAUUUGAUACUGGGAGGCUUGAGUACUGGAGGGGAUGGUGGAAUUCCCGGUGUAGAGGUGAAAUUCGUAGAUAUCGGGAGGAAUACCGGUGGCGAAGGCGACCAUCUGGCCAGAUACUGACGCUGAGGUGCGAAAGCGUGGGGAGCAAACAGGAUUAGAUACCCUCGUAGUC
rnacentral:rRNA from 1 species